UCGAACCUGGGAGCGGAGUGUUCUGGGCAGAGGGAGCCACAAGGUGAAGACCCCAGUAGAACAAGCUCGUUUUCUUUGAGGAACAGAGAGAAGAUUCAGGUUCAUGGUCAUCUAACUUGAAUAUGAAAUAAAAGGACAUGCCUCUCUUGUUGAAAAGUAUCCAAUUCUUGCAAGAAAGUUUAACAGCCCCCCCAAAAAACUAUAGGAAUACCCAGCCUUCUGCCUCAUGUUGCGACAUCCAGAUAUAAACAGUCCCACAGAUGUCACUUCCUGCCUGGAGCCUUUCACAUACCACCUCCUGAUCCUCCCCCAGCUGAAAGGAAUAGCUGCUCUCCUCAGAACUCCCUUGAGUGAUUAAACCCAACUAGUUCUAUGGGCAUUGA